AUACGGAGGGUGCGAGCGUUAAGCGGAAUUACUGGGCGUAAAGCGUGCGUAGGCGGUUUGUUAAGUCAGAAGUGAAAGCCCUGGGCUCAACCUGGGAACGGCUUUUGAGACUGGCAGACUAGAGUUGAGUAGAGGGGAGUGGAAUUUCCGGUGUAGCGGUGAAAUGCGUAGAGAUCGGAAGGAACACCAGUGGCGAAGGCGACUCCCUGGACUCAAACUGACGCUGAGGUACGAAAGCGUGGGUAGCAAACAGGAUUAGAAACCCUAGUAGUCC
rnacentral:rRNA from 1 species